rnacentral:rRNA from 1 species
GACGAACGCUGGCGGCGUGCUUAACACAUGCAAGUCGAGCGGUAAGGCCCUUUCGGGGGUACGACGAGCGGCGAACGGGUGAGUAACACGUGGGUGACCUGCCCUCAGCUCUGGGAUAAGCCUGGGAAACUGGGUCUAAUACUGGAUAUGACUCCACGGUGCAUGUCGUGGGGUGGAAAGCCUUGUGCGGCUGAGGAUGGGCCCGCGGCCUAUCAGCUUGUUGGUGGGGUGAGGCCUACCAAGGCGACGACGGGUAGCCGGCCUGAGAGGGCGACCGGCCACACUGGGACUGAGACACGGCCCAGACUCCUACGGGAGGCA